UCUCAAACUCCCCUUCUUCUCCUUCUUCUGUGUCACCAUUUCAAUAAAGCUCAAACCCAUGACUAUCCAUGUGUCUCUACUAUAAAUCUAUAAUUAAUUCUCUUGCUAAUUCAUAAAACCUAUGUACCUAAAACUAGACUAGCUAAUCCUAAUCACCAAUUUAUUGACUCAAAUCUCAUACACUUGUCUCUACCAACAAGCUGAUUUAUGGCAUCAAUGGAGCACCCAAUCCUCUAUAAAUAGCUGAUAAUUCAUCCCCAAAAUGCAACACCAAUCACGAUUAAUCAUCAAUUGUAAUCUUCAUCAUUAAAAUCCAUAAAAAUCCUCACCUUCGAACCACCACCACUUUCGCCACCCGUUCCACCGGAAACCACCACCGUCGCUCUCUGCCGGCCGCCCACCUUCGCCCUCAUACUCUACCGCCUCUUUUGUACGGGUCCCGACCAGAAGCCGUCGGACCAGUGACCUGCUCUCCUCCUCCCUUCUCUGUUCUUCGGCCUUGCGAGCGAAAUCCCGACCAUCGGAGCUCAGGAAAGACGAUAAUCAAGGCUAGAGAAAAAGCCUAGUCAAUCACGAAUAGAGGUGCCGAUCGGGGCGACGGAUGCGAAUAGUGGCAAGGAUUUCGUCUUAUUAGGGUUCACCUAGUUUAAGCUUAUUUUGUAUUAAGUCCAAGUAAGAAUUUUCUACUAAGUUAUGUAAGUCACUUUUGAAUAUUAAUAUAGAACAUAGUUAUAUAAAAGUAUUAUGAGGAUAAUAGCCUUGUAAUUCCCAAGAGGGAGUUACGGCGGUAGUGUCCCGACCGAAUUAAGAUAAUUCCGCUGCUUCAUUACUUGAGUUAGAGGUCGGGGCGUUACAGGUGACACUAUAAAUCCUCUUACCACCAUUUAUUAUAUCGGAUUCAGAAUUUAAGGAGAACCAUAAGAUGAUAAUU